UUUUCGUUCGUUGUGUUCAAUCAAGAAACUGGUCGUUUCGUACACCACAAUUUCGUCUCCACGUUGCUAAGCGACCUGUAUGGAAUACAGGCAAGAGGUGGUUGCGCAUGCGCGGGACCGUAUGCGCAGGACCUUCUAGGAAUGUCAUCCGCAAUGGGAAAGAAAAUGCUGAUGUUUCUGACGGAAAAAACACAGAGGAAAGACAAGGAAAAGCCACAACAACAAGCUC